GGGAUUGUGGCUCAGUGGCAGAGUGCUUGUCUCGAAUGUAUGAGGCACUGGGUUCAAUCCUCAGCACCA
rnacentral:tRNA from 1 species